CUGAAAGAAGUGAUCCCCCUGGCUUACUGCCCUCUUAGAGGUGAAGUUCCUUCAGAUCAGACUGCUUUUGCUGUAGAGAAUCAAGGCCUGCUUUCAUUUCAGAGGAAGUGCUGGCAGUCAAAUGCAGAGGACUCUACACUGCACCCAAGUCCUUUCAUUAUUAUUCUGACAGUCUCGCUAAAUUGUUCAGGUUGAUCUCGAACUUGCUAUUCCUCCUGCCUCAGCUUCUUGAGUCACUGAGAUUAGAGGUUCACUGGUUUCCAUUUCCUCUGCUGUUGUGGAAAGGUAGGUCCUUAUUCCGGCUACCAAUCCAAUAAUUAGGAUGCAGUUUAAAGAAAAAAGAAAAAAAAAAAGAUUUAUUGCUUUACUAGCAAAGGAGAAA